UACAGGGGGUGCAAACGUUGCUCGGAAUCAUUGGGCGUAAAGCGCGCGUAGGCGGACCUGCACGUCGGGGGUGAAAGCCCGAGGCUCAACCUCGGAACUGCCUUCGAUACUGCGGGUCUCGAGUCCGGGAGAGGUGAGUGGAAUUCCUAGUGUAGAGGUGAAAUUCGUAGAUAUUAGGAAGAACACCAGUGGCGAAGGCGGCUCACUGGCCCGGUACUGACGCUGAGGUGCGAAAGCGUGGGGAGCAAACAGG
rnacentral:rRNA from 1 species